rnacentral:lncRNA from 1 species
GAAAACGGUUUUGGUCAUAACUUUUGAUCCGUAAGUCGGAAUCAAGUGAAACGAAAGAGAGAUGAAAGCUUAUAAAGUCUAGUUUGAUAUGACAUAAUAAUAUGAUGGAGUCGAGAAUGUGAAUAAUUGUUGUGAAAUGUGCCGAAUGUGAUUAUAUGUUAUUUGAUUGCUAUUAAUUGAUGAGUACGUGAUAUAUAUGUCUAUUCCUGAUAUUAUAUAUGUGAUAAAUGACUUAUAUGACAUAGUGUCAUGAUUUGAUUAAUAUUGGAUAAGAACAUAUGGAUUAUGGUGAUUGGAUUUGGUUGGUUGAUUGUUGAUGGAGAUAGGAUAACAUGUGGAUN